UAGGGAAUAUUGGGCAAUGGAAGGAAUUCUGACCCAGCCAUGCCGCGUGCAGGAAUACAGUCCUAUGGACUUUAAACUGCUUUUAUUAUAGAGUAACCUGGGGGACGAGUCCCCCACUGCAAGUAUAUAAUGAAUAAGCAUCGGCUAACUCCGUGCCAGCAGCCGCGGUAAUACGGGGGAUGCAAGCGUUAUCCGGAUUUAUUGGGUUUAAAGGGUGCGCAGGCUGAUCGGUAAGUCAUGGGUGAAAAGUCACUGCUUAACAGUGAUCGUGCCUAUGAUACUGCCGGACUAGAGUUUAAGAGGUGUAACUGGAAUGUGAUGUGUAGCGGUGAAAUGCUUAGAUAUUGCACAGAACACCGAUUGCGAAGGCAGCUUACCAAGCUAUUAUUGACGCUGAGGCACGAAAGCGUGGGGAUCGAACAGG
rnacentral:rRNA from 1 species